rnacentral:lncRNA from 1 species
AAGAUACCAUGGAAAUGGUAUUAAACUGCGACUGUGCACAAGGAUUGGCCUUUCCUUUAGCUAGCCUGGCUCCAAAAGUAAAUUGGAAAAGAAGAAUCACUCAGUUUCGGAAUGGUACUUGUGAGCUGUGCCCAGCUGAUUCGAGACACACCAGCUCUUCCCAGCGAAAUGGUUUUGAAGGGUGCUGUCAUGAAUCUAGGAAAUACAGAACAGAGCAGCCUGAUAGACUGGUCCUGUAUCUUAAGAAAUAGAGAUUGGAUAUUAUUUCUGUCAUAUCAGCUUCAACCUACUUAAAAAAGAAAAAAAAAGAAAGAAGAAAAAAGAAAAAAGAAAAGCAAGUAAUUGAGUCCAGAGCAGAGGAAAUAAGUGAAGGAGGUAAUCGAUUUUAAUAACAUAUAGCAUCAACACACAUUAAGGAAAUUCAUAAAACAGAGGGAAAAUAAAGCAUUUGCCCAUAUCA